AAAUAAAAAUGACGCAACAAGAACGUUCGAACCAGGUCAGGACCGGAAGGUAGCAGCCUUAAGAACUAAUUCUUGUGUGCGUCAUUUUUUUAGAGGUG
rnacentral:SRP_RNA from 1 species